CAGCAGCCGCGGUAAUACAGAGGGUGCGAGCGUUAAUCGGAUUUACUGGGCGUAAAGCGUGCGUAGGCGGCUAAUUGAGUCGGAUGUGAAAUCCCCGAGCUUAACUUGGGAAUUGCAUUCGAUACUGGUUAGCUAGAGUGUGGGAGAGGAUGGUAGAAUUUCAGGUGUAGCGGUGAAAUGCGUAGAGAUCUGGAGGAAUACCGAUGGCGAAGGCAGCCAUCUGGCCUAACACUGACGCUGAGGUACGAAAGCAUGGGGAGCAAACAGGAUUAGAUACCCCGGUAGUCCCUGUCUCUUAUAC
rnacentral:rRNA from 1 species